rnacentral:lncRNA from 1 species
AGGCCCUGCCUUGUAGACCAGGACUAUGUGUAACAGGAUUUCCUUGAAUUUGCAGUAAUUCUCCUUUCUCUCUCAUUUGCCAGGAUUCCAGGUGUGUACUGACAUGUCCAGUGGUCUACCUCUUUUAAAAGAGCCAUCUGUGGGAUUAGAAGCAUUAGGGAAGAUAUUGUUGGUAUAUGAGCAGGACCCCAUGAUUCUGUAGUUUUCCCUCAGUACAUGAAGAAUCUACCAGCUUUCUCUCAGCUAGAAGAGAAGGAAGACCUGAUGUGGAAACAUAACAUUUAGAUUCCAAACUACUCAUCACAAGCUAUGUGACUGUGAGUAAGUUAGUUAACAUUUUGGGGCCAUGGUUUCCUUAUUUGUGAGAAAUAAACCCAAUUUGAGGAAGUUGCUAUAAGGAAU